AAGAAAAGUAAAAAAAAAAAAAAAGAAAGGGGAAAGAAAAAGAAAAAAGACGAAUUAGUCGCGUUGCAAGAAAGAAUAAGGAAAAAAAAUAACGGAAAGGACGAAUACAGACACACACCGAUCGACGGUGCGUCGGGUACUGAACGCCACUCAGCGGCCCUGCCCCCACCAUUUGCUCUCCUUACCCCCACCAAUGCUAUGUACCAUCAACGGGCUCGUUUCUUCGGACCCGAGCGGGGCCGAAGGGCCACGGACUUGAAAAAUGGGCUCGGUACUCUCUUGCCUAUCGCACGAAAGGGAUCUUUCUUUCUUCUGCUUGAUAACGAUCUUUCAUCUCCCUAUUCUUUUCCCCCUACACCACCCCGGAAAAAAUGUCAACGAUUAAAUCGCCACUUCAUUUUUUUUAUUUUUUUUUCAUGUAAUCCUUAUCGUUUGUGUAUUAGUUGGGAAAAUAAAAAGAUAGCGCAUCGUAGUGCAAGAGAGAUAAGCUUGUCGAGAUAAGCAAAGACAUUUCUCGAGGAUAAUAACAUUGAUCGGUUCGACGGAUUUGAUUGGAAAGCGUGCUUCGGAAUUGCCUUUACGGGAAAUGCAUUCUCCGCGAACAAGCGAGUUGAGUCGAGUCGAAUCGAGUCGAGUCAAGUCGAAUCGCGGAGUUGAGUGAAGUCAAGUCAUGUUGGAUUCUGGUUUUUAUUACUAGAGAGCGUGUUCCCAUACUUUAGAUCUUUCUUCGAUAGAAUGAUUUCAUCCAAAAAUAUUAUCUGUUAAAUUAUUCGCGUCUUUCAGUCUCGUCGUCGUCACCUAUUUUUAGUUCGAGUACGCGCAUAUCGCUAAUACUUUCGCUAAAAUGUGAUUUUCUUUCAUAUCGAGAAUCGAUCGAACGAUCGAUGAGAUCGAUCGAUUGUUUCUAUUGAUUUGCCAAUGAAAUUGUGCUUUCUAUUCCUUGUGUCUCUAUUUCCUUGUUAUCCCUUAAAAAUGAUUAUACGAACGAAAUUAAUUAAGUUCAGCGAAAUCCUCAUUAUUCGAACAUUUUUUUUAAAUUCACAUGCUCAUAGUAAUAAGUAAAGAUUGACGUACUAAGGUACACUUCUAAAGCUUUUCUCUCUCGCGAGAAUCGUGAUUAUCCAUGAAACUUGUUCAAAUGAUUUCAAUUUUGUUAAAUGGUAACGGGUACCCCAAUUCUUUGACUCGAACGAUCGCACGAACGAAGUCGAUACAAUCCUCUGAUCUUCGAGGGUGGGAGUUAAUUGGCACGAAUUGGUGGGGUAAAGAUGAUUCGCUUUGGGAACGGUUGUACACAAGGAUGGUUUGGUGAGUGUUCCGGAACGAAGGGAAAGGGAAGCAGAAACAGCAGCUUAAAGGAGGCCACGGAAUCCGCAGACGUCUCACCGCCGACCAGUUUUCUCAUACGGUCGACAUAUGGCAUAUAGAUACUAUGUAUGAACGGCAAUGCUGUCCCGAAAAGAACUUCAAGAUGCGUUAGUUGGCUUUCGAACACGAUGACGAUGCGAAAUGAGUUUCAGACCUGAAUUAGCUACGGUUCUCUCUUCUGGUGCACUUUAACUCGAUGAGAUUCUCGUUUAGAUAUUUUUGAAGAAACGAAGAUAUAUGUAUUCUCUAUCAAUACUAACCCUGGCCUUAUUCUCAUUAAAGCUAAACUAUUAGAAGAAGGAUAUAUUUGUAUCUGCGUGAAUGUAUCUACAGGAUAUUGUAUCUAUAAACGCAGGUAGAAAUUGCACGUGCAAACGCCAAACCUGUCUAGAGCUGUAUAACUGGUAAAGCUGUCUUAUGAGUUUUUCUGUCGAACUCGCCGGAAAUACGACACUCGGUGGCGAAUGCAAGGCCCGCCAUAUCGUUGUGUUGCUACUCGUCAUCGAAGAUAUGUGUAUAUAUAAAUAAUAAAUCCAUAUAGAUAUAUGUACCAUAUUGUAUAUAUAUAUAUAUAUAUAUAUAUAUAUGUAUAUAUAUAUUAUGUAUACACACACAUACAUGUAUAUGGUAUAUCAGUCGUGCGGUAAGUCUAUUCGACACCGCAAAAAAAUGUGUCAGCGUUAGACGUGCAUAAAAGCGAGUCGUCCAUUCGCAAGAUUUGCAUCGAAAUGAUCUCCAAGCAAACGGUGUCGACUUUCCUAUUACGUUGAAGAUCCCUUCUUUUAUUUUCUACACGCGAUACUUCGUCGUGGAAAAAUGUAAAAUUAAUGAAAAUAUUACGCCAUGGAUGUGACUGUGGAUAAUAAAAAAAAAAAAAAACGAAGAAGAAAAAAAAGAAAAAGAAAAAAGAGAAAAGAAAAAAAAAUAUUCAUGGAAUUCCUUUAUCAAAUUCUGAUUAGAUAUAUCUAUUAUUGACAAAUAAAUUCUUUAGUAUUUUACUUCUUCGUUUGCGUUGUCACGACAUGAUAAUCAUUAUUAUUUAUAUCUUCAUUGACAGUCAGUGUGCCGUGCGUCAUACAAAAUAUCUCCGUGACCGAUUGUAUGAUGCAGGUGGUACAUUUUAAAAUGAAACCUUGCAAAUCAGAUUUCUUUCUUUAGUAAUGUAUGUAACGUAGAAAAUAGUUAAUAGCGGUUCUUCUUUUAAUUUUGGAAUUUUUUUUCUUUUUUUUUUUUUUUUUUUUUUUUUUUUUUUAAAUAAAAGCAAAACGUAAUAUAAAACGUGACUAA